UACGUAGGGUGCGAGCGUUAAUCGGAAUUAUUGGGCGUAAAGGGCGCGUAGGCGGCCAACUAAGUCAGACGUGAAAUCCCCGGGCUCAACCCGGGAACUGCGUCCGAUACUGGAAGGCUUGAAUCCGGGAGAGGGAUGCGGAAUUCCAGGUGUAGCGGUGAAAUGCGUAGAUAUCUGGAGGAACACCGGUGGCGAAGGCGGCAUCCUGGACCGGCAUUGACGCUGAGGCGCGAAAGCCAGGGGAGCAAACGGG
rnacentral:rRNA from 1 species